rnacentral:tRNA from 1 species
GCGGCAAUAGUGUAAUGGCAGCACAACCCGACCAACGGGAUAGAGGGGGUUCGAUUCCGACCUUGCCGCUCCA